rnacentral:rRNA from 1 species
GUCCAGACUCCUACGGGAGGCAGCAGUAGGGAAUCUUCGGCAAUGGACGAAAGUCUGACCGAGCAACGCCGCGUGAGUGAAGAAGGUUUUCGGAUCGUAAAACUCUGUUGGUAGAGAAGAACGUUGGUGAGAGUGGAAAGCUCAUCAAGUGACGGUAACUACCCAGAAAGGGACGGCUAACUACGUGCCAGCAGCCGCGGUAAUACGUAGGGAGCAAGCGUUAUCCGGAUUUAUUGGGUGUAAAGGGUGCGUAGACGGGAAAUUAAGUUAGUUGUGAAAUCCCUCGGCUCAACUGAGGAACUGCAACUAAAACUGGUUUUCUUGAGUGUUGGAGAGGAAAGCGGAAUUCCUAGUGUAGCGGUGAAAUGCGUAGAUAUUAGGAGGAACACCAGUGGCGAAGGCGGCUUUCUGGACAAUAACUGACGUUGAGGCACGAAAGUGUGGGGAGCAAACAGGAUUAGAUACCCCUGUAC